rnacentral:rRNA from 1 species
AUACGGAGGGUGCGAGCGUUAAUCGGAAUUACUGGGCGUAAAGCGUGCGUAGGCGGUUUGUUAAGUCAGAAGUGAAAGCCCUGGGCUCAACCUGGGAACGGCUUUUGAGACUGGCGGACUCGAGUUGAGUAGAGGGGAGUGGAAUUUCCGGUGUAGCGGUGAAAUGCGUAGAGAUCGGAAGGAACACCAGUGGCGAAGGCGACUCCCUGGACUCAAACUGACGCUGAGGUACGAAAGCGUGGGUAGCAAACAGGAUUAGAUACCCUAGUAGUCC